GACAUGUCAAAUCUUCAAACCCUCUACUCGGUCCAUCUCCUUAUUUUUAUGAAAUCUGUUUAGUCGAUUUAAACACUAUAUUAUAUUUGUAUUGAGUCUAUCCGUUCCUUCGCAUCAGAUUUCGGAACACAUAGUGUAUAACACGCAUACUAUAUCAAACACUUACAUCUACUAUUUACCCUCUUUGUAAUAACAUGAGCAACACGAC
rnacentral:lncRNA from 1 species